rnacentral:rRNA from 1 species
CAGUCGCCGCGGGAAUACGUAGGUGGCAAGCGUUGUCCGGAAUUAUUGGGCGUAAAGGGCUCGCAGGCGGUUUCUUAAGUCUGAUGUGAAAGCCCCCGGCUCAACCGGGGAGGGUCAUUGGAAACUGGGAAACUUGAGUGCAGGAGAGGAGAGUGGAAUUCCACGUGUAGCGGUGAAAUGCGUAGAGAUGUGGAGGAACACCAGUGGCGAAGGCGACUCUCUGGUCUGUAACUGACGCUGAGGAGCGAAAGCGUGGGGAGCGAACAGGAUUAGAUACCCCAGUAGUCCCUGUCUCUUAUAC